rnacentral:rRNA from 1 species
UCGGGAAUUUUGGGCAAUGGGCGAAAGCCUGACCCAGCAACGCCGCGUGAAGGAUGAAGUAUUUCGGUAUGUAAACUUCGUAAGAAUAGGAAGAAUAAAUGACGGUACUAUUUGUAAGGUCCGGCUAACUACGUGCCAGCAGCCGCGGUAAUACGUAGGGACCAAGCGUUGUUCGGAUUUACUGGGCGUAAAGCGCACGUAGGCGGAUUGAUAAGUUAGAGGUGAAAUCCCGGGGCUCAACCUCGGAACUGCCUUUGAUACUGUUAGUCUCGAGUCCGAUAGAGGUGAGUGGAAUUCCUAGUGUAGAGGUGAAAUUCGUAGAUAUUAGGAAGAACACCAGUGGCGAAGGCGGCUCACUGGACGUGUAUUGACGCUGAGGUACGAAAGCGUGGGGAGCAAACAGGAUUAGAUACCCCCGUAGUCCCUGAGCGGGCUGGCAAGGCGCAU